AGGCGCUGCCUGCGGGCCUCGGCUGCGCGCCGACGCAGCACCUCGGCGCCCACCAGCGCGCGGAUGCUAGCGGCGGCGGUGUCCUCGGGCGCUUCCAUCGCGCUGUCGGUGUGCCGUCCUUUUUCUCUCUCCUCUGUCGGCUCUUUUUUUUUUCUAAUUCUCUCUCUCUUCGCCGUUCUCGUUGUACUCUAUGUGUGCUCUCUGUGUGCGCGCCCUCUCGGUACUGUUCUCUAACCCGAUUUGGGUGUCUUUCUGUCUUUGUCUCUUCCCGGUUUGGCCUUAUUUGGGAGCGCACGUGCGGAUUGGUUCGCGCGCGCGACCAAGCAUAUACAGCGUUGAAAAAAAAAAGGUAAAAGAGCAG
rnacentral:lncRNA from 1 species